GCUCCGUUGGUGAGCCAGCGGAGGGAUCAUUACCGAGUUAUCAACUCCCAAACCCCUGUGAACAUACCCAACGUUGCUUCGGCGGGACCGCCCCGGCGCCCUCGGCGUCCCGGAACCAGGCGCCCGCCGGAGGACCCAAACUCUUGUUUAAACCAUAGUGGCAUAUUCUGAGUCUCACAAGAAAAAUGAAUCAAAACUUUCAACAACGGAUCUCUUGGCUCUG
rnacentral:misc_RNA from 1 species